rnacentral:rRNA from 1 species
UAGUCCACGCCCUAAACGAUGGAUACUAGUCGUUGGAACUCCUAAUCGUUUCAGUGACGCAGCUAACGCAUUAAGUUAUCCGCCUGGGGAGUACGGUCGCAAGAUUAAAACUCAAAGGAAUUGACGGGGGCCUGCACAAGCGGUGGAGCAUGUGGUUUAAUUCGACGCAACGCGCAGAACCUUACCAGCUUUUGACAUCCUGGUCGCGGAUUUGGGAGACCAUUUCCUUCAGUUCGGCUGGACCAGUGACAGGUGCUGCAUGGCUGUCGUCAGCUCGUGUCGUGAGAUGUUGGGUUAAGUCCCGCAACGAGCGCAACCCUCAUCCUUAGUUGCCAGCAUUUAGUUGGGCACUCUAAGGAAACUGCCGGUGAUAAGCCGGAGGAAGGUGGGGAUGACGUCAAGUCCUCAUGGGCCCUUACAAGCUGGGGCUACACACGUGCUACAAUGGCGAUGACAGUGAGCAGCUAACCCGCGAGGGCAAGCUAAUCUACUAAAACCGUCUAC